AGAGUAUACUGAGUGUGUUUCUUUUCUUUAAUUCCCAUACUGUAUUUCUCUUGUACAUCUAUCUAUAUAUGUAUUUGUGCAUGUUUCAAUGAUGUUUGGGCAUGAGUAUCUUAAGGAUAUUUUUAAACAAAUGCAGAAGCACACGUAUUGACAGAGUGAAAUGUUGGGAAAAAAGGAAGUAGUAAUGGAUUUUUUUUUCUGUAAAUACAAGUAAUUUACAGAAAGAUCCUCUGUAAAUGUAAUCGGUUUGUGCUAGUAGUAACUAGAUAGUAACUAUUUCUAUCAAAUUAAGUAGGAACAUUGCAGUAGCUCCUGAGGGCACUAGUCAUAAAUCUGUAAGACUGCAAAGUCUGUAAGAUUCUCUGCAAGAGUAUCAGUGGCUCUGGAAAAAUGUGUUCUGCUGGGGAACAGGGGAGGCCGCCAGAGAUAGCUGCUUGCUCUUUCUGCUUGAUUAGACACCCAGACCCUGACGUACAGCUGGCCUUGUCAGCUGCAACAUGCCAAGGCCAAACAUGGCUGAGCAUGGAGAGCUGUUCUUAACUCAUGAAGCAUGGCUCUAGUCCUGCAAGGACUGCGAGCACAGGCUUUCUGAGCUGUACAAGAGUGUAUGAGUAAUCCUCAAGUCAUCCAGCAGUAGACACAGAGCUGGAUUAAACUUCUAGGUGCCCACAUGCAACCUUUUUAUUUGUUGACAAAUCUCUAAAAUUUGAGCAGGAAUUAAGGAUUAAAUGUGGAAACACUUUUAUAACAAAAAAAAAAAAAAAAAAAAAAAAAAAAAGAAAAAAAAAAGAAGGCAUUGACAUAGUUGACAUAGUCUGAAACAGAGCUACCCAGAGUCCUGCAAAGGCACCUGGUAGGGCUCAAGGUGGAAGAUCAGCCCAAGCACAGAAGAAACUACACAGUGAAACCCCACACACUUUCCCAAAUCCAGGUCUGAGAGAUCCUGGCAUUUAAUUCUGAAACUCCCACUGUGAUAUUCACGCACUUCCCUAAACUGAAUAUUGCAAAAAUUGGAACGACUGUCUGUGCUUCACUGAUCAUUCCGUGGGAAAAUGCAUCUGAUAAAGAAGUUUACUUCCUUUUUCCCCUGAAUUCCUUCUGUUUGUACCAGAUUUUGCGUAAACAAAAUCCCAAACACCAUAUUCCCUUGAAAAUAUUUUCCCCCCAGUCAGACCUUAAAUUUCUACUUAUGGCCUCUGAUUCUUGUUCAAAUGUUCCAUGAAGAAUUAAAUAUCUAAAGUGUUGAAGCUGAUAAGGUCAGACUACGAAACACUGACAGUUUUCACAGCUGUUUUUGCAGCACUAUCCUGCGCCCUUUCCUUGUUUAUGAAAACAAGCUUUAUCCUGUUUUAUUAUGGCUAAACUCCUGCAGCCUGUGCACUUCAGGGAAAUACUCCCCCGUGACCUGGCAGGAGUCCCCACUGGUGAUAACCCCGUCCCUGCUGGGGGCCCCGCUAAUCGCGCCUCCCCACGCCCAACGCCCUGCGCAACCACGACAUCUGUAUUCGCUAUUUAACAGAGUUAUUCUGAACAGCAGCUUGUUCCCAAUAUCUCCUUACAGUGUUGCUGGAGUAUGAAGCCUGCCUCAGCUUCCCGUGGUUACUUCGCAUUAGUGCAGAGCUGUUUCUGUAAAUAUGCAGCCUGAAAAUACUCGGUUACAAACUCCCAUCCGUGCAGAGCUACAACCGGAUUUGCAAAAAUGUGUGGAAAAAAGAGAUGAACAUUCUCAAGAUUCCUUUACUGCUGCUGAAAAUGAAUCAUCUAUACAUAAAAAUUAUGAAAACUCAAAAAAAAGGCACAUUAACAUACAUCUAAAGAAGAACUGGAUAACAAUUAUAUAAAUACCAAGUCUCUACCGAGAUCUAAAAUAUAAUUACAGGCUCAAUUUUCUGACAGAUGAAAGAGACAAUUUUACAGAAAUUUGGUUCUGUCUAUGCCUCAAAGAUACUGAAUAAAACCUUUUUUUAUUUUUUGUCCUGCCA